rnacentral:rRNA from 1 species
AUGUGGUGGGAGGAGGUGAGGAGGAGGGAACGCGGGGAGCUGCGCGCCCGGCGCUUCGAGGCCCUCGCCCGCUCGCGCCGCGCCGCCUCGCUCGCGCUCUCCAACCGCAAGGAAAUCACGACCCCGCACCUCGGCGCCGUCAACUCCCUCCAGGUUGAUUUGACAGAGGGGAGGUACCUGCUCUCGGGGGCGUCGGACGGGUCGGCCGCCGUCUUCGAUUUGAAGGACGCGACGGAAUACGAGGCCGGGUUCAUAGCCAAGCACAGGAGCAUUCUGCUUGUGGACAAGCAGCAUCAGCAUGGCCACAAGUUCACCGUCUCCAAGGCCAUCUGGUAUCCUGUGGACACCGGGCUGUUCGUCACGGCCUCCUUCGAUAACUAUGUCAAAGUGUGGGAUACCAAUUCGACUCAAAUGGUCAUGGAUUUUAAGAUGCCCGGAAAAGUGUACAGUGCUGCAAUGUCUCCGAUUGCAACAACGCAUAUGCUCAUCGCUACCGGAAGCGCAGACGUUCAGGUCCGUUUGUGUGAUAUUGCUUCCGGGGCCUUUACUCACACGUUGUCCGGUCAUCUUGAUGGUAUCAUGUCUUUGGAGUGGUCUACCUCAAGCGAGUGGAUCCUAAUGAGUGGUGGCUGCGACGGGGCGAUACGUUUUUGGGACAUAAGACGAGCUGGAUGCUUCCUUGUCCUUGAUCAGUUACGGUCUCAGCUAGGAAGACGGCCUCCCAUUCUUGAUGGCACCACCGACAACCAGCAUCAGAAGAACUUAGGACGUUCAUCUUCAUCAAAGAGUUACUCGGUUCAGCAGAGGACAGGCAAUCAUAAGAAGCAGUCCAAAGCACUACGCAAAAGUCUAACCAUGGUACGUGGACAUACGCAACAGAAAGUGCAUCCCGGUAUGUCAUCCAGUCAAAAUCAUAAAACAGCUCAUUAUGGUGCUGUUACAGGAUUAAGAACAACAACAGAUGGGAUGCACCUUCUUAGCUCAGGAUCUGAUUCUCGUUUAAGACUCUGGGAUAUCGAUUCAGGCUGCAAUACUUUGGUCAAUUUUGAAGCCAUGCGAUUGCAAACUAGCAAGCCACUACAACUAGCUGUCACUGAUGAUCCAUCACUUGUGUUCAUUCCAUGCAUGUCAAGCAUCAAGGCAUACAAUACAUGGUCUGGUACGACAUUUCAAACAUUCCGUGGGCAUUAUGACCAUGUAAAUUGCUGCUACUAUAACUCACAAGACCAAGAACUCUAUACUGGUAGCAAUGAUCGACAAAUUCUUGUGUGGUCUCCAUCGACUCCUGCUUUGACUGAAAUGGAAGACGAUGACAAGCGGCAAGAAGGUUUUGCAGCUGAUGAGGAUAACUGGAGUGACUGA